CUGGGGUUGCAGCUCAGUGGUAAAAUGCUUGCCUAGCAUGUAUGAGGCACUGGGUUCAAACCUCAGUACCAUAAA
rnacentral:tRNA from 1 species